rnacentral:rRNA from 1 species
UACGUAGGGUGCGAGCGUUGUCCGGAAUUAUUGGGCGUAAAGGGCUCGUAGGCGGUUUGUCGCGUCGGGAGUGAAAAUCCAGGGCUUAACUCUGGACUGGCUUCCGAUACGGGCAGACUAGAGGUAUGCAGGGGAGAACGGAAUUCCUGGUGUAGCGGUGAAAUGCGCAGAUAUCAGGAGGAACACCGGUGGCGAAGGCGGUUCUCUGGGCAUUACCUGACGCUGAGGCGCGAAAGCGUGGGGAGCAAACGGG